AGGACGAACGCUGGCGGCGUGCUUAACACAUGCAAGUCGAACGAGAUCCAACCGGUGGCAACACCGGGAAAGAUCUAGUGGCGAACGGGUGCGUAACACGUGAGGAACCUGCCCCGGUCUCUGGAAUAACAGUGGGAAACCACUGCUAAUACCGGAUAUCUCCUCGGAACCGCAUGGCUCUGAGAAGAAAGGGUUACCGGAUCGGGAGGGUCUCGCGGCCUAUCAGCUUGUUGGUGGGGUAAUGGCCUACCAAGGCUCCGACGGGUAGCUGGUCUGAGAGGACGAUCAGCCACACUGGGACUGAGACACGGCCCAGACUCCUACGGGAGGCAGCAGUGGGGAAUCUUGCGCAAUGGGCGAAAGCCUGACGCAGCAACGCCGCGUGCGGGAUGAAGGCCCUCGGGUUGUAAACCGCUUUCAGCAGGACGAAAUGACGGUACCUGCAGAAGAAGGUCCGGCCAACUACGUGCCAGCAGCCGC
rnacentral:rRNA from 1 species